rnacentral:lncRNA from 1 species
AUGGGCACGAGUCGUGUGCAGCCCAUCAAGCUGGCUAGGGUAACCAAAGUGCUGGGCAGGACAGGCUCACAGGAACAGUGCAAGUGGAAUUUAUGGAUGACACCAGCUGCUCUAUCAUCGGAAAUGUCAAAGGCCCCGUUGGAGAGGGUGAUGUGCUCACCCUAUUGGAGUCAGAAAGAGAAGCUCAGAGGUUGUGCUGAUCUCGCUGCUGGGUUCUGGAUAUCCACUACUUAGUCCAUGGAGUGACCUGCAACUGUUAAAUAAAGCAUUUGUAUUA